rnacentral:lncRNA from 1 species
GGAUCUGUACAUUACGCGCCACCAGUCGUUUGGGUUUACCCAAUAGAAGAGCGCACUUGUGUCGGUACAGCGGUGUGGUGUGUACGACACUCAUGGGCUAGUUUCAGAGCGUGCGUGUACAGGAGCAUGUACAGGAAGAUAGGUGUUUUGUUAUGAUUAUUUGCGGCAGCCUGUGGAAGCAGUCCCAUUGGACAUUUUAUGGGUGUGCAAGUUAGUGUUAUGUACAUAUGACGGGAUGUCAAGCGGACGGCAGGCUGUUGUUCUUCUUCUGCAUGGUUUCCGAGCAUGCAUACGCGAGCAUGCAUACGGUGGGACAGAGCGCUUGGUGCCAAGCAUGUUAAACGAACGUUGCGAAAGCUGUGCGACGUGUAACAGUCGAGGAAAGGUUGCGUCACAGAUGUCACGGAUACCGUUUUUGGUUAGAUAACGGCACCACCGACGUGGUAAAGGAGUGCAGCGGGUAACACAAGCAUAUGUACAGCCUUACAGCCUUUCUAUCCCUAUCCUCCGGGGUAUCAAUCCCAAUCCAGGCCCAAGGCAAUCUCAAUCCAACGGUAGCGUCUAUCUCAAUCCAACGGUACUACACUCUCAAUCCAACGGUAACCCGAUCUCAAUCCACCUCGGUCUCAAUCUCAAUCCCUCCACAGUCAAUCUCAAUCCCCCCGUCAGUCUAUCUCAAUCCCCGGUUGAUCUAUCCCAAUCCUGGCGACCACCCUACCAACUCAAUCCAACCGUACUUGCCAUCCCUCCUCGGAUGACAAGGAAGACAACUUGUCCGGUUUGAAACUGUGAAGAUAGAACUCCGAGAAAGUUUGAUUUAUAAUUAGGGUUUAAGUUAACUCCUUCCGCUUUCCAUCCUUGCCACCCUUUAGUGGGUUACACUCGAUAGGCUGAUCUUCAAUUUCUGAAAUUGUAGUAGAUGGUCGCUGGAAAGGCCUUCUCAAAAUGCUGGCUGGGCACUUUAGGGCGCAUUUAUAGGCUAUGUAAUUGUAAUUGUAAUUGAAAUUGUAAUUGUAAUUGUAAUAUUACAGAGUGGGAGGCUUCUGGGCCGCUUUAUCACAUUGUAAGUUCUACGAUUUUAUCACCUUAUAGCACCAUCUGUUGUAAUUCCGGUCAGACUUCCUAGGCUUUUAUAGCUUGUUGUCGCGAUAAGCGUUGUACUACGAUUGGUGUGAUUCAUAGUUGGGUCUUAUCGUACGGAGUUGAUCUAUUGGUACUAUUUGUACCCUGAGGCAAGACUUCUCUAACAAGCUGAUUGUAACAACUAUUGCUCAUUGGGACUUUGGAGUGUCCUUCGAGAUAGGGCAUAGUGUCAGCUCGCUUAUCCAGCUCGUGCUUAACUGGAUCUUGUGUCAGCUAUUUCUGGCUAUUUACGAAUAGUCACAACGGGUUAUGAGCCCCGCUUGACGUUGCGGUGGCUGCAGUGAUCGUACGCUUUGUUGAGCGCAUACAUUUUAAACACCCAUUUCUGAGUCAUACGUGAUUCUUUGAAAGAAUGUCCGACAUUGCUGGUUGGAGAGAUAUGCUGAUUGUUGUGACUAUUCGUAAAUAGCCAGAAAUAGCUGAGACACGAUCCAGUUAAGCACGAGCUGGAUAAGCGAGCUGACACUAUGCCCUAUCUCGAAGGACACUCCAAAGUCCCAAUGAGCAAUAGUUGUUACAAUCAGCUGAAUAAAGAAGUCUUGCCUCAGGGUAUAAAUAGUACCAAUAGAUCAGGUCCGUACGAUAAGACCCAACUAUGAAUCACACCAAUCGUAGUACAACGCUUAUCGCGACAUCAAGCUAUAAAAGCCUAGGAAGUCUGACCGGAAUUACAACACUCCCCCGCGGACAGACUUCCAUACAACAAAUAACUACUCAGCUAUUUCAUAAGGCACAGCGGUGAUGGCUGAAGUGGAAUAAACCCAAGAAAAAUUGAACCGUCGCCAAGAGAGAAAAACAACCCAGAUGUAGAACGCCAUCAAGCCAAGUCCGAAUCGCAACAAUCCUUCGACGUUUAAGUUGUCGAGGAAAAAGAUACCGACAUUCUGAGUACUCGACAAAAUGCGAUACUUUAGAGCUGCUUCUACUGAACUCCAAUGCGCCGAAGCUAGAGCUUCCACGUUGAAAAAGAUAUCAGGACGUGAACAUAUCAACAAAUAAAGCAAAUAGAGCAGAUGAAGCAUGAGGAGAGAGUUAGGCUGUUUAGCCCAAGUGUAAGAACGCGUAGCAGCAAGGGGGGCGGAGAUACUAGCAGCUAUAACUUCUCCCUCAAUCUCAGCUGCCUCCAGCUCAGCUGCCUCCACCUCAGCUGCCUCUGCCUCCAACUCAGGUUCCUCCCCCUCAUUGAAAACUCCCUCAUCGUACUCCUCUUCCCCCGCAUCUUCCUCCAGCAGAGGGGGAAGGUCCUCCUCAGUGUCCAUGCCGGCCUCAUCCGCAUUUCCCGCGGGGGCUCCAGCAGCAGGAACAAUGGGAGCAACACCUGCAUUACCCACGCCGGCCUCUCCUGCCUCUUCCGCAGGGGCACCAGCAGCAUGAGCAACCACAGGGACAACCCUGCCGGCCUCACCCGCCUCUUCCGCAGGGGCACCAGCAGCAGGGACAAACCAAUAAUCAGACGCAGAUGCCUCAGUAACGCCGUUGCGGCCACGAAAAUGAAACUUAUCCUCAUGAAAAUCGACGUUUCGAGACACAAUAAUACGUCCAUCACCAACCAAGAUCCGAUAUGCCUUUGAGUUCGGCUCGUAUCCUAGGAAGGUGCCUCUAUAGGCCCUUGGAUCGAGUUUGCCACCCUGACCCCUGGGAACCUGAACAUAUGCUAUGCAGCCAAAUACCUUAAACCAAGACACAUCAGGAAUCUCCCCCGUUAACAACUCAUACGGGGUUUUCGAUUUCCCCGAAACAGGUGAACGAUUUCUGACAAAAGAUGCAACACUCAAAGCCUCAUUCCAAAACUUCUUAGGUACCGAAGACUCCACCAGCAACGUCCUAACCUCAUCCAACAAAGUACGAUUUAACCUUUCCGCUUUACCAUUCUGUUGGGGGAUGUACGGGGCGGAAAAUUCAUGCCUAAUACCCCGUUGUUUGCAGAAUUCCUUUAUUUUUGCGUUCACGAAUUCGCCACCUCCGUCGGUUCGCAUGCCCUGUAAAAUAGAGCCACUUUGAACUUGUAGCAAAUUUACGCCCCUCUCAAUGAAGUCCGGGACAUCAGACUUAUGCUUAAUGGGCUGCACCAACGACACCCCAGUAUAGUCAUCCAACAGAGUGACGAAAUACCUAUGGCCACUCGAGGACACAGGCAAAGGACCACAUACAUCUAAAUGCACCAACUGCAACGGUCUCUUAGUUACCGUUGGGAUGACAGACUCAACAGGCCUGGAGGAUUCCACAGCGGGUACCGCACUACUCAUGAACUUGUAAAGGCCUGACGCACAUUUAGUAGCAGAGAUGUGCGUGCCUCCCCUCGAUAUAACUGCCUCCGAGUCCUCAAAGCUAAUCCUAAAGCCCUUGUUCGUCAGGACCGAAACAGAGAUCAGGUUAUGCUUAAAAUUUGGCACGUAAAAUACUCCCUCAAUCGUGAUGUUAGGAGCAUGGGUCGGCACCACAUUGCCGUAACCCUCGGCCUGCAGCACGUUCCCGUUACCGACCUCUAUCGUAAUAGACAAAUCCGGGUCAAUCCGGCAGUAGUUAUGGAGGAUACUUCGGUCGCCCGUAACAUGGUAUUUGCUACCGGAAUCUAACCACCACGGGUUCUCGGGGUACUGCGAAACUACCCUCUGAAUCAUCUCUAUAAAUGGAGCCCGCCCCAAAGCUACGGACGCGCUCCUAGGAGGAUUACAAACGUAGUAAUCGAGACUCUCCUCAUCUCUAGUCUGCUGGGGAACGAAUUGCUGUUCUCGAGCCACCAGCGUAAGCGCAACGACCUCCGGUUUCCGUUCGGUGCUCCUAGGGAAACCCUGCCGCUUGCGAUAACACUUCUCCGACAGGUGACCCGUCUUCCCACACCAGUCGCACCGCAACUCCGACCCACCGUUCGAACGACCCGAGCCUGAAGGACCAGAGCCGCUGGCCUUCAUUGAACAGUCCCUCGCGUAGUGGUUUCCGCCACAGACGAAGCAGCUAACCCUACGGCCACCGCGUCCGGCGUAUAAUGCCAUCGCCGUGUCUGGCUCGGUCCUCCUUGAAGUUAGACGAUUUGCCUCCGCAGCCAAAAGCUUCUCCUUUAGCUCCUGAAAGUUCUUCGGAUAAGAGGACGUAACAAAAAUUCUCUUCUCCGUCUCAUACAAAGCAUCGGGCAGGCCACGAACAACUAACACAAUCGCAUUUUUCUCCGAAAUGCAAAAAUCUUUAUACCUAUUCAACUUCUCGUACAUACUGACCGCGCGGGUCAGAUAGUCGUGCACUCUCUCGUCAUGGUGCAUCGUAAUAGAGUGGAAAGAUUGUGAGACUGCGCCCAACUCAGCCUCAUUCAGCUGCCCAGCCCACUGCUCAAGGCCCGCCCAGAGAUCCUUAGCAUUGGUGGUCGACUCGAUAAGAAUCUUGUGUUCGACAGACGCAAGCCGAAGGAUUAUCAGUGCCCGAGCCUUCCUUAUCUUUCGCAACUCCUUCUCCCGCUCCGUAGGAUCCUCGGGUAAAACGUAGUCCUGGCGGACGACUGACGCCAGAUCCUCACACUCCAAGAUGGCCUUCAUCUUGAUGAACCAGUCGCCAGAGUUGGCGACCAUUAGCACAUCUCUCCAACCAGCGAUGUCGGACAUUCUUUCAAAGAAUCACGUAUGACUCAAGAAAUGGGUGUUUAAAAUGUAUGCGCUCAACAAAGCGUACGAUCACUGCAGCCACCGCAACGUCAAGCGGGGCUCAUAACCUGUUGUGACUAUUCGUAAAUAGCCAGAAAUAGCUGAGACACGAUCCAGUUAAGCACGAGCUGGAUAAGCGAGCUGACACUAUGCCCUAUCUCGAAGGACACUCCAAAGUCCCAAUGAGCAAUAGUUGUUACAAUCAGCUGAAUAAAGAAGUCUUGCCUCAGGGUAUAAAUAGUACCAAUAGAUCAGGUCCGUACGAUAAGACCCAACUAUGAAUCACACCAAUCGUAGUACAACGCUUAUCGCGACAUCAAGCUAUAAAAGCCUAGGAAGUCUGACCGGAAUUACAACACUGAUGGUCGCCAAUUCUG